rnacentral:rRNA from 1 species
AUUGAACGCUGGCGGCAGGCCUAACACAUGCAAGUCGAACGGUAACAGGAAGAAGCUUGCUUCUUUGCUGACGAGUGGCGGACGGGUGAGUCAUGUCUGGGAAACUGCCUGAUGGAGGGGGAUAACUACUGGAAACGGUAGCUAAUACCGCAUAACGUCGCAAGACCAAAGAGGGGGACCUUCGGGCCUCUUGCCAUCGGCUGUGCCCAGAUGGGAUUAGCUAGUAGGUGGGGUAACGGCUCACCUAGGCGACGAUCCCUAGCUGGUCUGAGAGGGUGACCAGCCACACUGGAACUGAGACACGGUCCAGACUCCUACGGGAGGCAGCAGUGGGGAAUAUUGCACAAUGGGCGCAAGCCUGAUGCAGCCAUGCCGCGUGUAUGAAGAAGGCCUUCGGGUUGUAAAGUACUUUCAGCGGGGAGGAAGGGAGUAAAGUUAAUACCUUUGCUCAUUGACGUUACCCGCAGAAGAAGCACCGGCUAACUCCGUG